rnacentral:rRNA from 1 species
UACGUAGGUGGCGAGCGUUGUCCGGAUUUACUGGGCGUAAAGAGCGCGCAGGCGGUCGUGCAAGUCGCGUGUGAAAGCCCCCGGCUCAACUGGGGAGGGUCAUUCGAUACUGUUCGACUCGAAGGCAGGAGAGGGAAGUGGAAUUCCGGGUGUAGUGGUGAAAUGCGUAGAUAUCCGGAGGAACACCAGUGGCGAAGGCGACUUUCUGGCCUGUUCUUGACGCUGAGGCGCGAAAGCUAGGGGAGCAAACGGG